GACGAACGCUGGCGGCGUGCUUGACACAUGCAAGUCGAACGGUGAAGCGCCUUCCUUUUUGGUGGGUGUGGAUGAGUGGCGAACGGGUGAGUAACACGUGAGUAACCUGCCCCCUUCUUCUGGAUAACCGCAUGAAAGUGUGGCUAAUACGGGAUAUUCUGGGUCUGUCGCAUGAUGGGUCUGGGAAAGAUAUUGUUUCGGUGGGGGAUGGGCUCGCGGCCUAUCAGCUUGUUGGUGGGGUGAUGGCCUACCAAGGCGGUGACGGGUAGCCGGCCUUAGAGGGUGGACGGUCACACUGGGACUGAGACACGGCCCAGACUCCUACGGGAGGCAGCAGUGGGGAAUAUUGCACAAUGGGCGCAAGCCUGAUGCAGCGACGCCGCGUGAGGGAUGGAGGCCUUCGGGUUGUGAACCUCUUUCGCCAGUGAAGCAGGCCUGCCUCGUUUGUGGGUGGGUUGACGGUAGCUGGAUAAGAAGCGCCGGCUAACUACGU
rnacentral:rRNA from 1 species